CUACUGACCGAGACGCUUCUCUUUGGGCCGCAGCACUUUAUAGCAAACGCGGAGCACUGCUGACGUCAGAGGCCUUAGUCUCCGCCCCGUUACUCUCUCGAUCGCUUUCUUCCAAUACCGAAAAAAGGCAGGCAGUGAGCAGGGCAGCUUUGAGUGAAGCAUUGGGGACCUCCUCGCUCGCGCCAAAGUUGAAGUGAAGGAAGGAGGAGAAGGACGUCGCGAAAGGGACCCGGGUAGGAUUCUCUCGGGUGCGAGCUUCCAACUUGCAAGAUCUUGUUUACAAAAAUAGCCACGCUGGGAUUACUGAGGCUACUGUAUCAAUCACCUUUGAUAAUUUUGAGAAGAAGCAGAGUCCCCUAGGAUUUGAGAAGCAUGACGAGGUAACAGUCACAAGGCAGGUGGUGAUUGGAGGCAGGAAUAAGUAUCUAAUCAAUGGUGUGAAUGCAAACAAUUCUGUUGUUGUUAUGUGCCUUCAAGUCGACUA